GUUCGACCUGUGAUGCUCGACCGUGUGCUGCUAGUCGUUCUGUUCUUUUUCGUCUCUUGUGCUCCUGUAUUGUUGCUGUUGUUAUUCGGUUGGGGGUCCGACGCUGCCGCCGCUGGUGGUGGUCGAGUGCAUCGUUGUUGCCCCCGUUUUCUCUCUCCUCUAUUCGGUUGCUGCAGUAUGUUGUUGUUGCUGUAGCUUCAGUUCUGGAUUACGUUGGGAAGUGGAGAGAUUGAUUAUGAAUAAGGAGAUAUCGGACUCUUGAAGAUUGUUAUGGAGUCGAGUGUUAUUCAAAGAUGCGUAGAGAGUUCAUUAUUAGUGAUCUUGCAGGUUCGUAUGUGGAAAGCUCGAAAUGGAGUAAAAGGAAGAAUUUAGGUAUCAAGUUUAUAAUUGGAUGUAAUGGUUCAGAGGCUGUAUUUAGGAUUACAUAUCUUUAUUUGUGAAAAAUUUAUUAUAUUUGUUUUAAGAGUCGAGCAAGGUAGCAUGUAAUCUGUUAAUUGGUUAUUGAGGAUGAUUUGUUGUGGGCCUGACCCACAGGUCCAGGAUCGUUUUAAGGUUUGUUCCGUUGCAAGAUAAUGAAUGUAAUUCGAGGUUAUUAAGCGUU